GUGCCUUAAACUAAUGAGUAAGGAAAAUUCAAAGGCUUUGUUAGCGCAAAGUCAUUGCUGCUAGCUCAAUUCUAGCCCACUUAUUUUUGCAAGGGUACAGGUCGUCCCGUGGACUUCUACAUACUUCGUAGAUAACCCGGUGAAGCGAUUUACCCG